AUACGGAGGGCGCGAGCGUUGUUCGGAAUUAUUGGGCGUAAAGCGCGUGUAGGCGGCACAGCAAGUCGGGUGUGAAAGCCCUUGGCUCAACCAAGGAAUUGCAUUCGAAACUGCUGAGCUUGAGUGCGGGAGAGGGAAGCGGAACUCCUAGUGUAGAGGUGAAAUUCGUAGAUAUUAGGAGGAACAUCCGUGGCGAAGGCGGCUUCCUGGACCGACACUGACGCUGAGACGCGAAAGCGUGGGGAGC
rnacentral:rRNA from 1 species